GAUGAAGAACGUAGCGAAAUGCGAUACGUAAUGUGAAUUGCAAAUUCAGUGAAUCAUCGAGUCUUUGAACGCACAUUGCGCCCCCUGGUAUUCCGGGGGGCAUGCCUGUCCGAGCGUCAUUGCUGCCCUCAAGCACGGCUUGUGUGUUGGGCCCCGUCCUCCGAUCCCGGGGGACGGGCCCGAAAGGCAGCGGCGGCUCCGCGUCCGGUCCUCGAGCGUAUGGGGCUUUGUCACCCGCUCUGUAGGCCCGGCCGGCGCUUGCCGAUCAACCCAAAUUUUUAUCCAGGUUGACCUCGGAUCAGGUAGGGAUACCCGCUGAACUUAAGCAUAUCAAUAAGCGGAGGA
rnacentral:misc_RNA from 1 species